rnacentral:rRNA from 1 species
GAUGAACGCGGGCGGCGUGCCUAAUACAUGCAAGUCGAGCGAACAGACGAGGAGCUUGCUCCUCUGACGUUAGCGGCGGACGUGUGUGUAACAUGUGGAUAACCUCCCUAUAAGACUGGGAUAACUUGGGGAAACCGGAGCUAAUACCGGAUAAUAUAUUGAACCGCAUGGUUCAUUAGUGAAAGACGGUUUUGCUAUCACUUAUAGAUUGAUCCGCGCCGCAUUAGCUAGUUGGUUAGGUAACGGCUUACCAAGGCAACGAUGGGUAGCCGACCUGAGAGAGUGAUAGGCCACCCGAGAGCGUGGACCGUCUCCAUACUCCUACGCGAGGCCGCAGUAUUGAAUCUUCUGCAGUGGUCGAGACUCUGGCGGACCAGCGCCGCGUCAGUGAUGGAGAUCUUCGGAUCGUGAUAAUCUGUUAUGGGGUAAAAACAACUGUGUACGUGACUGUGCACGUCUUGACGGUACCUGAUCAGGAAGCCACGGCUAACUACGUG